GCUGAGUUGUGUGUAUAUGUGUGUAUGUGUAUGUGUGUGUGUGUGUGUGUGUGUGGCUUAAAACUACGAGCUUAGCUGAGCUCAGUACAGCCAGCAAAUACCAAGAUUGAAAGGUCUGAAUGUAAACCACUGAACACUCGUCCUCAGUACUGGUUCAUAAAGUUAUGCAUGUGCUAUUUGCUACACCAAUGAUAAGUAUAUGCUUCUGCAAUUCCUCAGUCAAAUUUACAUUACUAAUUAAUAGCCACGUAUUUUCUUUUUAAGGACAGCAUGUGUCUCCAGUUUACAUCUGUCUUCAGCCCUGGCUGCUCUUUGCAGCAUUUCAGAUCUUUACAUAUAAGGAGAAAUCAACGUUUUUAUAUAUAAUACCUCUCAAUUAGUUUUAACUGUGUAUGGACUCAUUAUACUGCAAUAUAUGCUGUCUGUAGUGGACUAAAUAAGAUAAAAUAAUUUACUUAUUGACAUAAAAUGAUUACCUUCUUAUUCUAUUGCUUUAUUUACAGAAACUAUGGCCUUAGAUCUAUGUAACCAGUACACAGCAGCACAUUGUUUUAAGGUGUUAUCAUUAAAACUCCUUUUCCUGAAUGAUGGUAUGCUUUUCUUAAGUCCAUACCUCUUAUGAAAUAUUACUUCUGCGCAGUGUUUCUUGUUUUCAUUGAUAUAGUGUACGUGUCAUUUCUUUGUUAGAGUAGAGCCAAAAUAAAUCUUCUACAGUUCAUACUCAGGAACAGUGUGCAUCUGUAUGUGUGCGUAAACAGACAGUGAGUAUGAAGUGUGUGUGUUUUUAGGGCUUGAGACAGUACGUGCGUGUUCGCAGUCACGUGUUCGUGUGUGUUCUGAGCAGCAGCACUUUGAUGAAGCGUCCAGUGGGAGUGAGGUGGCAGUGUUGUCUUGUUCCUCAGCUGUUAAGACUGUUUCACGUCACAUCAUGUCCUGCAGGUUUUAUCUUUGAUUGAAAACAUUAUAUACCGGGGCAGGGAAUGUAAACACACAUUGGGCAAACUAUUUCAACUUUAUUUUUGAUGACUGAUAGAGCUACUAUUCAGAGAAAGACAGAGAGAGUUGUAGAGUUAACUAGCCAGCUAGUGUUGAACAUGUAUAGUAAAUUGUAUCUUAGAAAGUGUACAGUCUGUGUAUAGAUAUUCUAACCCUUAUGUAGCCUAUGUACUGUAUGUGCCACAGCGCCUCCUUCUUCAAUCAUUCCAUUAAUUCACCAAUAUCAAGUCGUUCUGCGAUCGUUUGUGUCAGUUCAGGUAUUGAUCUAAUGUUCAUGAAUGUGCUCCAGUUUUUUGGGAACAUCUACAUAAAAUCUUGGCCUCCUGAGAAUUCAUUUGACAUGCACACUCUAAGAAUAUGUGUUAAUAUGAGCUGAAAUUUAUCAUGAUAGCCAUUAACCUUUUAUAACUCCUGAACGGUGUUUAUUGUAAACCCAGUAACCAGACUGUUCUCUUCUGUUUGUGUUUGACUGCUCAGGCUAAACACUGCCCAGUGACUGUUCUCCUCCAAAAAUAUGUGGUCUUAUAUUCUUCACUGUUACAAAGUACAGCUACUGCUUCAUCAGUUUGUCUUUGGAGCCAUCUUCUUUCUGUGAACCUGGUCUAUAUUUGUAUUUCUUCAGCUAAAUUGUUUCAAAACACAGACCUGAAAUGAUACCCUGAUGCAGAUCUAUGAAAAUUGGGAUGGACACUUUAAGGCUUUGCACACACAGUUCCUCUGACAUUAAGAAAAGUGGAGCUAUUUAACAUGCUUGCACAAAUGUAAAAGAUAUUACACAAAAAAAAAAAUAAAAAAAAUCUGACAUUAUAUGAACUAAAGGUGUGCACAGCCUUUAGGUUUGGUCCUACAAUCAACCUUUUGGUGAGGUUCAAUAUUAAUAAACCCCUUUGAAGAAAAAUGCUUAAAUAGGUUCCCAAAUCUAUCAUUUCAUAGCCUUUUUAAACAAUGUUAAAUAUGGUGUAUGCCACCUUGUGGUGAGCUAUGGAAUUGCACUUUGAUAUAUGGGGAGAGGGUGGGUGGGAUGGUGGGGGGUUGUUAGUUUAACUAAUACACAGAAGUAAUGUACAGCAUGUCUGAGUAAACUUGUACGCCAACAGUACAACAUCUCAGCGAUUUGUAAAUAGCCAAAGUCUUCCAUUAUAAUGUUUGUAUGACCUUGUUACCAGUGGAGAGGAUAAACACUGACCCCCAUGUACAGACCAUAAAAGUCAUUUUAAUUUCACAAAUACAUCAUUUAUUUGACAAAAAUACAGGAUAUUACUUCACCUAAGAUGUUUUCUUUUGCACCAGCUCAAAAACCCAGGAAAUUAUAGGAGUAAAAGACUUAAAAAAUGAUUUUGUAAUUCGGGUCUGUUUGUUGGAUAAAUCUCAGCUAAGAUACACGUAUGUUCUACUGUUCUACGUACGGUAUGUAGUAAGUAUCAAUGAUGUUCCCUUAUUUUGAUGGUGUCAAGGUUUACUAGUCAGAAACUGUUAAAUCUUUACUUCAAAUGUUUGGUUUUGAUCAAAUAUAUUAAAAGAAAUAAAGAGUAUAAAGAAAU